rnacentral:tRNA from 1 species
GGCGCCGUGGCUCAGUUGGUUAAAGCGCCUGUCUAGUAAACAGGAGAUCACGAGUCUGAAUCUCCGUCGGUGCCU